rnacentral:rRNA from 1 species
AGAGUUUGAUCCUGGCUCAGGAUGAACGCUGGCGGCGUGCUUAACACAUGCAAGUCGAACGAACCUUCGGGUUAGUGGCGGACGGGUGAGUAACGCGUGAGAAUCUGCCCUCAGGAGGGGGAUAACAGUUGGAAACGACUGCUAAUACCCCAUAUGCCGAGAGGUGAAAUGAAUUUCGCCUGGGGAUGAGCUCGCGUCUGAUUAGCUUGUUGGUGGGGUAAUAGCCUACCAAGGCUUCGAUCAGUAGCUGGUCUGAGAGGACGAUCAGCCACACUGGGACUGAGACACGGCCCAGACUCCUACGGGAGGCAGCAGUGGGGAAUUUUCCGCAAUGGGCGAAAGCCUGACGGAGCAACGCCGCGUGAGGGAUGGAGGCCUUUGGGCUGUAAACCUCUUUUCUCAAGGAAGAAGAUCUGACGGUACUUGAGGAAUAAGCCACGGCUAAUUCCGUGCCAGCAGCCGCGGUAAUACGGGAGUGGCAAGCGUUAUCCGGAAUUAUUGGGCGUAAAGCGUCCGCAGGCGGCCGUUUAAGUCUGUUGUUAAAUCGUGGAGCUCAACUCCAUCACGGCAAUGGAAACUGUUCGGCUUGAGUAUGGUAGGGGCAGAGGGAAUUUCCGGUGUAGCGGUGAAAUGCGUAGAUAUCGGGAAGAACACCAGUGGCGAAAGCGCUCUGCUGGGCCAUUACUGACGCUCAUGGACGAAAGCCAGGGGAGCGAAAGGGAUUAGAUACCCCUGUAGUCCUGGCCGUAAACGAUGAACACUAGAUGUUGGGGGAAUCGACCCCCUCGGUGUCGUAGCUAACGCGUUAAGUGUUCCGCCUGGGGAGUACGCACGCAAGUGUGAAACUCAAAGGAAUUGACGGGGGCCCGCACAAGCGGUGGAGUAUGUGGUUUAAUUCGAUGCAACGCGAAGAACCUUACCAAGGCUUGACAUCCUGCGAAUCUCUAAGAAAUUAGAGAGUGCCUUCGGGAACGCAGUGACAGGUGGUGCAUGGCUGUCGUCAGCUCGUGUCGUGAGAUGUUGGGUUAAGUCCCGCAACGAGCGCAACCCACGUUUUAGUUGCCAGCAUUCAGUUGGGCACUCUAGAAAGACUGCCGGUGACAAACCGGAGGAAGGUGUGGACGACGUCAAGUCAUCAUGCCCCUUACGCCUUGGGCUACACACGUACUACAAUGCUGCGGACAAAGAGUAGCGAUCUUGCGAAAGUUAGCUAAUCUCAUAAACCGUGGCUCAGUUCAGAUCGUAGGCUGCAACUCGCCUACGUGAAGGAGGAAUCGCUAGUAAUCGCAGGUCAGCAUACUGCGGUGAAUACGUUCCCGGGCCUUGUACACACCGCCCGUCGCACCAUGGAAGUUGGCCAUGCCCGAAGUCGUUACUCUAACCUUUUGGAAGAGGGCGCCGAAGGCAGGGCUAAUGACUGGGGUGAAGUCGUAACAAGGUAACC